GCCGGGAUGGUGUAAUCAGGCAGCCACGGCGGCCUCAAAAUCCGCUGCCCGAGAGGGCGUGGGGGUUCGAGUCCCCCUCCCGGCACCA
rnacentral:tRNA from 1 species